AUUGAACGCUGGCGGCAGGCCUAACACAUGCAAGUCGAACGGUAGCACAGAGAGCUUGCUCUCGGGUGACGAGUGGCGGACGGGUGAGUAACGUCUGGGAAACUGCCCGAUGGAGGGGGAUAACUACUGGAAACGGUAGCUAAUACCGCAUAACGUCGCAAGACCAAAGUGGGGGACCUUCGGGCCUCCCACCAUCGGAUGUGCCCAGAUGGGAUUAGCUAGUAGGUGGGGUAAUGGCUCACCUAGGCGACGAUCCCUAGCUGGUCUGAGAGGAUGACCAGCCACACGGGAACUGAGACACGGUCCAGACUCCUACGGGAGGCAGCAGUGGGGAAUAUUGCACAAUGGGCGCAAGCCUGAUGCAGCCAUGCCGCGUGUAUGAAGAAGGCCUUCGGGUUGUAAAGUACUUUCAGCGGGGAGGAAGGCGGUGGAGUUAAUAACUUCACCGAUUGACGUUACCCGCAGAAGAAGCACCGGCUAACUCCGUGCAGCCGCCGCGGUAA
rnacentral:rRNA from 1 species